rnacentral:rRNA from 1 species
GAUGAACGCUGGCGGCGUGCCUAAUACAUGCAAGUCGAGCGAACGGACGAGAAGCUUGCUUCUCUGAUGUUAGCGGCGGACGGGUGAGUAACACGUGGAUAACCUACCUAUAAGACUGGGAUAACUUCGGGAAACCGUAGCUAAUACCGGAUAAUAUUUUGAACCGCAUGGUUCAAAAGUGAAAGACGGUCUUGCCGUCACUUAUAGAUGGAUCCGCGCUGCAUUAGAUAGUUGGUAAGGUAACGGCUUACCAAGGCAACGAUGCAUAGCCGACCUGAGAGGGUGAUCGGCCACACUGGAACUGAGACACGGUCCAGACUCCUACGGGAGGCAGCAGUAGGGAAUCUUCCGCAAUGGGCGAAAGCCUGACGGAGCAACGCCGCGUGAGUGAUGAAGGUCUUCGGAUCGUAAAACUCUGUUAUUAGGGAAGAACAUAUGUGUAAGUAACUGUGCACAUCUUGACGGUACCUAAUCAGAAAGCCACGGCUAACUACGUG